GAUUUCUGGUAUGGCGCACUUGGCCCGCCGAGGUUUCUCGGUCGUGUGCCGGUGUGCGCCUGCCAUCCUUCUGGGGAACGGCCUUGCCCUUCACUGGGUGGAGGUCGGUAUCCAGAUCUUUUACUUUGAAAAAAUUAGAGUGUUUAAAGCAGGCUUGCGCUAUGAAUACAUUAGCAUGGAAUAAUAAUUUAGGACUUUGGUCUUAUUUUGUUGGUUUCUAGGACUAAAGUAAUGAUUGAUAGGGAUAGUUGGGGGUGCUAGUAUUCAGCGGCCAGAGGUGAAAUUCUUGGAUUCGCUGAAGACUAACUUAUGCGAAAGCAUU
rnacentral:rRNA from 2 species